GCUUCCCAUAUCUUCACCUAGCUAAAUUCUAGUAGCUUUGAAAAUUUAGCAGGCAGUUAUUGGUGGAGCUGGCAUUCUUCUUUACGAGCCAAAUGCACCAGUCCCAGUCCCACCCAUUCGUGCUUCUCUCCGGCCCUCCUUCCUGGUAAUCUCUCAUCAUACCCCAAUUUCUGCAGCGGGAAAAGGUCCUUACCUCAUUAGAAGCUGAGGAUGAUCGCAAGUGGUCUUCCUAUGCAACCGUAGCAUGAUAGAAAGCAACCCUCCUCUUCUCUCUCAGUGUCUAAGGGGAUCAUUGAGGAUGAGGAGAUGGACAAUGAUGUUGUUGUUAAUGCUAGUGGGGAGACAUUAUUCUCCGCUAAAUGAUGUUAUAUGAUUUCCACAACAUUACAGGUACGCUUUCAACCCGUUCUUUUGGAUUCUGUGACUUCUAGUCCCAAUUCCCGUAAAAGAUGUGUUAAUAUGUGUUUACAUCCGUUUAUCUUGUACCUAGCUUGUUUUUGCAAAUUGAAAUGUUGAUUUCAGCAUUUGAUGGUUCUAAAUACUUGAACAGAAGCUUGCCUUUUCUUUUGCAAUUAGUCAUGGUUAUUCCCGCAACUAAAGUUUCCAGGGAGAUUUUCAGUAUUUCCAUUUUGGUUGUUUCAUCUUCCAGCGUUGUUGUUAACCUCGAUCAGUUGUGCAUCUAGUUUCAUUACUACAUCUUAAAGGUUGAAUAUGAACUUCGUUAGUGCAAGCCGGAAUCUCACUCUUUUGUUGUGGCUUGGCUUGUUAAAUGCUUCACAUAGUUUCAAUAUCAGUUGCAUUUGCAAAUAACCUGAACUUGAAAUGAUCCUUUUUCUCAAUGUUAACAGCAAGCUAGCUAAGCCGGAAUUUGUUCUAAUAGAAAGUACCCCUUCCUAAUCAUUUCCAGCCCUGCGCAUUUACAGUGCACUAUUAUAUUUGAUAGUAUAGAAAGCUUACUUCACAUAAGUUUUUUAUUCAAGAACUUAAUGUACACUACCGAGAGAACCAUGCUACCCGAGUGAAAGAAAAGGAAGUCAAGAACGUAAAGGUGACACAUUCCAUUCUUUUUCCUUGUUUUUCUAGGUAAGAUGUUACUGCUAAACUCAUCCCUGAUAUCCAGGGUCACAGAACUCUCCUCCGAGAUCAUCACAAGCCUCGUCUAGGAAUACCCUGUAAUGAAACGAAAGAAUCCUUGUUAAAACCUCAGAUAUUUUGUUCAAUUCUUGUCAUUGCAAAUCUUUAAACUUGUAAAACUAAAGAUGGGGUCCUGAGAUCUUACGUCUUGGCACUGUUGUACUCUAAAUAUUCUCUAUCAAUCUGCUCUGAAGUGCUGGGAGUGGUACUUCUGGCAUCUGGUUUGAGCUUCACUUCAGGAUACAUCUCAACAUUACAAGCUUCUCCUCCUAUUGUCUCACAAGCCUCAGCUGGAAAAACACUGGACAAAACAUGUAAUGAAAGUAUAUUGUUAACCGUAACUUUUAAUGUUGAAGAUAGGAAACUGAGGGUGAUGGAGAGCAGAAUUUACGAGGUAAAGGAGCUGUAAUCAACUGUUGAAGUGUCGUUAGUCACUGGAGCACUUGCUUUGAUCGGGGAACAUUUGGAGGUCUGUAACCUUGGGACGACCCUCCUUGCCGAAGCUAAACUUUUGUUAGGUGUUACAAGAGGGAGAAUUGAUGGUGUAAGAAAUAUGGCUGCCUGCAUUUUCAAUGAAUAGUGUGGGAUCGGAGCUUGAAGCCACUGAGAGGAGAGGGAUCUGUAUUUCUAAUGUGCUAGUUGGAUAAUGACCAUGGACAACGGAUAAGGUAGCCAAGAUUAUUUUUUUGGAAUGGAUAAGGUUUGAUUUUUAUUUGACUGAAAAAUGUGGUGGUAAAGGUUUUAAUUUUUAGAGGGCUUGGCAUUUUCAGCCUCGAGUAUCUUGCUCAUUUAAUAUUUCAAAUGAUGACAAAAGAUCAAUGGAAAUAUUCAUUAGUGUGA